rnacentral:hammerhead_ribozyme from 1 species
AUCCAGCUGACGAGUUUCAAAUAGGACGACAUGAGAGUCCUGGAU